CCCCAAACACUCGCACUCUGCAGUUUGUGAUUCAAACAUCAUCUGCUUAACCUGGAACUUUAAUAACAAAAGUGCUUUGAUCACUUAACAAGCUGGACCAUUCUUUAAGAGUUGGCUGUGUCAGUGAAGGAGUCUAUUUAUUGAGUCAAAGGCCCGCUUCAAGCUGAAGUUUUCUGCCCUUCUGUCUGCACCUUUUAAUCAAGACUUCACUCCAGAGACGCCUCAUCUUCUCUUCCAGAAGCUCGUGAAACAGAUGGUUGACGACUUGCUGACAUGGAAGGUUCUCACACUGACAGAAAUAUGAAAGUGUCUGACCAACAAGGGUCUGGGUGGACAGAAACAGGGACCAACUGGUGUCUAACUACACCCAUCUGGAGAGGCUGGAGCAGCGCUGGGAGGGAUCAGGAGGGAUGACACGAAAAACGACCACCAGCUGGAAUGUACGCCUGUCAGAAGAGUGGCUUAUCCUUCAGUGUAGAACAAGACGUUCUCCUGUAUGAUGGGACCUGAACUACAUUUAAAAGCCUGAACAGAAAAAAAGAAAAUACAAAAAUAAAAACAGUAUGUCCUGACUGCAACCGCUUCUCUGCUCAGAGCUGUCUGAAGGAUAUCCAACGAUGCAUGGUAAGAUAGACUUUUUUUUUUUUUUUUUUACAUGUGCUCACUUAUCCCCUUUAACCUGCCAAGUUGUCUUUCUUUGCCGCUCACUGCACAAAGCUGGUGCAGAGAAGCACAGGAAGCAGCAGCUCACUUACUUUCAAAGCAGCUUCACAGACUCUAGAAGAGCUGUCAGCAGCGACUUCAGAGGCGUGUUGCAAUAAGCCGUUGGUAUUUUAA